CAUGCGUGUGCCUCCUUUGGAGCAGGUCUUCUCCCUGACGUCUUUGUAGGGGCUCAGCCUCUGAUGUGCAGGGCUUCAGAAAAGGGGACAGCCAGGAGCCUCCCUUUCUUGCCUUAUUUUUUGUCAUCACCAGAGCUUGCUUCACCACUCUGGUUUGACUUUCUUUCUUUUUUUCCUCCAGACAGAUGGAGAGAAACAGAGGGAGAAAGGGGGGGAAUAAUACUGCAUUACUCAAUCUACCUCCGUUGCCCGAGGGGCUGAGUUUGAAUCUGGGCCACGUUCCGACAGAGCAGACACACUACCCAGGAAGAGAAAUGGAUCGAAGUACAACCUGAAAUGAAGUGAAUCGUUAAAGUGUCACAAAAUGAUGGCCAGCACCAAAACAGAUGCUUAGAGAACGAAUGCUCUUUAGUUCUUCAAAGGCCGAUGUGAAGGACUGACUACCCUCUGCCCACCCAGCUCAGGAGCUGCUUCUUCACAAAUGGGAACAUCAAUUCUUCCGAGAGGUGUGAAGUCCAGGUGUAAUGUCUACAGAAAGCUCAGCCCCCAAAGCCAAGAUGUCUAUCUAUCUUCAGUUGUCUCUGAACAGCUGAUUCAGAAUGAGUGGUUCUGAGGGCAAUCAAGUGAAACAUUCCUUGCUAGUUCCUGGCUCUGCCCUCACAGGAGGGAGAAGAGUUCUGAGGGCUUGGCCUGCAGCCCAGUGCACAAAGGUUUCCCCCUACCAGCCCAGCAGCACCUCACACGCCACCCAUCCUCACCCCCACCUCAAGUUCCCGAACCCGGGUUGUGACUCUAGACCUGUUUGCUGGUGGAUCUUUCAGACGCAGCACUCUUUCCUCAACUCUGGUUGUAGAUGCUGGAAAUGUAUUCUAUGAUCUAGUGACCAAGACCCGAGCUGUGCCUGUGACAGCAGCUGCACCACUAAAUUGAGUACGGCUGUUGACAAGUACUAGACACAGUGGCUCAGAUCCUUGGCUCAGAUUGGGCGCAUUAAGGUCUGAUUGAGGAACCUCGCUCAGACUUGACUGCUGCAAUAGGCCUGCCACACUGUGGUCACCUUUAGGCAGUUGCUACAGGUGCUUGUCUCAACUAAGAACAGAAACGGAAACUGUAAUUUCUCACUAGUUGACGUUCUCACCGAAGUUUGAGUUGCUAUUAGACUGCGCUCCUUCAACUCGUCCCUAAUCCAGAAGCCAAGGCCUCUGUGGCAGAUUCCUUGUAGCAAAUAGCUUGUAAGAUGGGAUGGGUGGGGGUCGGGUGGUGGCACAGUGGGUUAAGCGCAAAGUGCAAGGACUGGCGUAAGGAUCCUGGUUCAAGCCCCUGGCUCCCCACCUGCAGGGGAGUCGCUUCACAGGCAGUGAAGCAGGUCUGCAGGUGUCUAUCUUUCUCUCCCCUUCUCCGUCUUCCCCUCCUCUCUCCAUUUCUCUCUGUCCUAUCCAACAACGAACAAUGUCAACAAUGGCAAUAAUAAUGACCACAACGAGGCUACAACAACAAGGGCAACAAAAAGGGGAAAAAAUGGCCUCCAGGAGCGGUGGAUUCAUGGUGCAGGCACCGAGCCCAGCAAUAACCCUGGAGGAAAAAAAAAAAAAAAAAGAUGGGAUGGGCAUCAAAAUUCAAGCGUGAUGCCUGCCGCCCAGCCCAGGAGAAGGGCCAGUGUGCCGAAAGUGCUUAUAGACUUGAUGAGGAAUUCCAUCUCUUCCAAAAAAUGUCAGGAAAUUGUGCGAAUGUGGUUGAGCUCGGCAGGGCUCAUAAAGCACCCUGCAUUCCUGAUAUUAUGACCUAUCUACAUAAUCACUGUUUUGCCUGAAAGAUGCCCACCCAUUCCAUUCCUUUGCUCUAUCUUCUUUCUACCCUCAAGACCUUCCCUGCCUCCAGGCUAUUAAUUAAUCCUACCAGUUAACACCCUCACGAUAGUUGCUAAGGAAGUUCCUACCUUCCCGGCUCCAUUCUGCUUUUCUCCGCCCCUUUCCUAGCCAUUUCCAUUUCCGACUUGCCACUUCUGGGUCUGUCUUUUAAAAGCGGUGGCUCUCUGAUGAAUAAAGACAUUGCAUUGUCUCGCCA